rnacentral:tRNA from 1 species
CCGCGAGAGGUGACUGUCGGGUAGUCACGCCGGUCUGUAAAACCGGUCAGCUCUGCGCUGUCGAUGGUUCGACUCCAUCCUCGCGGA